rnacentral:rRNA from 1 species
GACGAACGCUGGCGGCGUGCUUAACACAUGCAAGUCGAACGGAAAGGCCCUGCUUUUGUGGGGUGCUCGAGUGGCGAACGGGUGAGUAACACGUGAGUAACCUGCCCUUGACUUUGGGAUAACUUCAGGAAACUGGGGCUAAUACCGGAUAGGAGCUCCUGCUGCAUGGUGGGGGUUGGAAAGUUUCGGCGGUUGGGGAUGGACUCGCGGCUUAUCAGCUUGUUGGUGGGGUAGUGGCUUACCAAGGCUUUGGCGGGUAGCCGGCCUGAGAGGGUGACCGGCCACAUUGGGACUGAGAUACUGCCCAGACUCCUACGGGAGGCAGCAGUGGUGAUGAUUGCACAAUGGGCGGAAGCCUGAUGCAGCAACGCCGCGUGCGGGAUGACGGCCUUCGGGUUGUCACCCGCUUUCGCCUGUGACGAAGCGUGAGUGACGGUAAUGGGUAAAGAAGCACCGGCUAACUACGUG